rnacentral:misc_RNA from 1 species
GUAGAAAAUCAAGCUACCCUUUCUGUAAGUUUUCUUUUUCUUCAAUCCACAAGAAUUUUAUUUCUAUUUCGGCUGUUCUUGAAACACGUUUUAGUUUUUAUUAUCCCACAAAACUCUUAAUUUGCUUUAAAUUUUCUUCUUAAUCUGCACUGAAUUAAUGCAAUAUUCAAUUAAGAAACCAUACAGUUAUUUUCUUGAUACCCUUUUAAUUCCUCUCCUUAAUCAUUAACAAAAAAUUUCACUGGCUUUUCCUUAUUUAGUACUACGAAGUACAAACCAGUCAAGGAUAAUUGAUCCAUUUUUGGCACUGAAAUUUCAAUAGGCAUUAGCUAUGGUGCUUUUCUUUCAAACAAAAAUGAUGUCAACUUCAA